UGCUCAAGUUGGUCGAGCUACACUCGGACCUGGAUAUCCAUUUGUUGGAUGCACUUGGUGUGCCAUGUUAAUGGUUGGACCUAAUCAAAAUUUUCAGUGGAGGUGCCACACGCCUGCUGAAGGGAUGCCUGGGGUAAAACUUAUUGCUAGAAGUUGUUUGAAAAAAUAAUUGAUUAUGAACCUACCCAUGGAUGCACUAAGAUUGG
rnacentral:lncRNA from 1 species